rnacentral:sRNA from 1 species
GCUUGGUGUGGGGGCUCAUGCCUGUAAUCCCAGUGGCUCAGGAGGCUGAGGCAGGAGGAUCGAAAGUUUGAGGCCAGCCUGGGCGACUUGGCAAGGCCCUGAGCAAUUUAGCAAACCCUGUCUCUA